GCAGCCUCCACGGCGUUACGGACGUCUUUCCGGCCUCCAUCUGAACAAUAGGCUAACACGCCGCCGCCCGCUGGUGACUGCACGGCCACACUGCAGCCAGACACUGAUUUACAUGGCUUACCUCCGACAAACUGCAGGGUCUGAGUCAUCAGGAAUGACAGCUGGGGAUGCUGCUGUUCCAAAGGUUGAACUGAUAGAAACAGGGGAGGAACGAGGUAGAGGAGGAGAAGAAGAAGAGGACGGGCGUAGAAACUGGUAGAGACCCUGGAAGAGAGCAGAGAGGAGGUCAACAUACAGUACAAGACUCAUCUACAUAGUGUGCAGGUGCCGCUGUCUUUGUGACCAGAGACGGGCAAACAGGGGUCAGACACAGAGUGGGAAUUCACCCACACUGAGCCGACUGACAGACUGAGGAGAGAGGAAGAAGAAUGAAACAUCAGUAGGGAGUAAAAGACCUUCUCACAGCAGACAUGUUGACUUGUCAAAGCAGGAAAAGCACAGUAGUAGGAGAAGGGAAAGAAGAGGAAGUGUGUGAAUGUGUGCACCUCUUAGCUGUCUCCAAAGCCAGUGUGAGGUCUUCAGUCCAGAUGGAGGCUGCCUGGCCAUGAGGACUGUGGUUUCCUGUGUAGAACAGAGACUGUUACCGUGGUACAAAUGGAAAUAUUAAAAU